GACGAACGCUGGCGGCGUGCUUAACACAUGCAAGUCGAACGGAAAGGCCCUGCUUUUGUGGGGUGCUCGAGUGGCGAACGGGUGAGUAACACGUGAGUAACCUGCCCUUGACUUUGGGAUAACUUCAGGAAACUGGGGCUAAUACCGGAUAGGAGCUCCUGCUGCAUGGUGGGGGUUGGAAAGUUUCGGCGGUUGGGGAUGGACUCGCGGCUUAUCAGCUUGUUGGUGGGGUAGAGGCUUACCAAGGCUUUGACGGGUGGCCGGCCUGAGAGGGUGACCGGCCACAUUGGGACUGAGAUACGGCCCAGACUCCUACGGGAGGCAGCAGUGGGGAAUAUUGCACAAUGGGCGGAAGCCUGAUGCAGCAACGCCGCGUGCGGGAUGACGGCCUUCGGGUUGUAAACCGCUUUCGCCUGUGACGAAGCGUGAGUGACGGUAAUGGGUAAAGAAGCACCGGCUAACUACGUG
rnacentral:rRNA from 1 species